UCAGACGAUGCGUCAUGCAUAUCAAUAAGCGGAGGAAAAGAAACUAACAAGGAUUCUCCUCAGUAACGGCGAGUGAAGCGGGAAGAGCUCAAAUUUGAAAUCUUGAAAGGUCACCUUUCACGAAUUGUAGUUUAAAGAAGUGUUUUCUGUUACGAUCGUAAUAUAAGUUCUUUGGAAUAGGACAUCACAGAGGGUGAGAAUCCCGUCUAUGAUUGCGAUUUGUAGCUUUGUGAUACACUUUCAAAGAGUCGGGUUGUUUGGGAAUGCAGUCCCAAAAUGGGUAGGUAAAUUUCUUCUAAAGGCUAAAUAUUGGCGAGAGACCGAUAGCGAACAAGUACCGUGAGGGAAAGAUGAAAAGAACUUUGAAAAGAGAGUUAAACUAGUACGUGAAAUUGUCAAAAGGGAAGCGUUUAACACCAGUGUUGUUUUCUGAAAAUCAACCUCUGUUAGCUUUAUGCAUGUUUGUUUAGACCUAAUCAGCUAUCUUGCAUGUUCUAUUGUUUGCAGUGGUGCACUUUUCAGUUUACAGGUCAACAUCAGUUUUUUUUACCGUAAAAAAGUUAAAGAAAGGUAGCUCAUGGCUCCGGUCGUGAGUGUUAUAGUCUUUUUCCUAUGCGGUAGGAGAGACUGAGGUCUGCAGUGUAGGCUAUUUGGCUAGAUACUCAGGUGCUAUGUGAUACCAUUUCAUAAACAACUUGUUGAUUAUGUUUUGUCUAUUGCAUACUCGCUUGUACUAUCAUACCUACGCUUAGGAUGUUGAUCUGUAGUGCGUGCGC
rnacentral:rRNA from 1 species